GGGUGACACACAACUACUGAGCCAACAGACAUCCAACAAGUACUCUCUGUAUCCAGAAACACUAACUUAUCUAAGAGCAGAGAAUUCACAGGAACCCUAUAAUCGUCAGUUAGGUUUUGCAUCAAAACAGAUGCAGCAAGAAAAGCCGCAUCUCAAUGCCGUUGUGACUUUAUGAAGGUGGACAAUCCUGGUUGAGCAGAGAUAUUGCAGAUGUCUCCCCUGUCAUGGAGGAUAACCUGCCUUCCCAGGUAGGUGGAGCUCAACCACAGCAGAGGGUGAUAUGUGGAAAGCAUUAUUCUGAAGGAGGAAGAACUAAUUCACCCUGUCACCUUUCUUCGUUAAGGAAAGAUAACAAUUUGAGAACUCGUGUCUGUAUCCAUUUUCUAUGUGAAAAGGAAGACUUUUGCAAUAAAACAGGUAUUUUGUCAUCUUUUAACAAGAUUUCCAUUUUAUUUUUA
rnacentral:lncRNA from 1 species